rnacentral:rRNA from 1 species
CGAAGGAUCCAAGCGUUGUCCGGAUUUACUGGGUUUAAAGGGUGCGUAGGUGGAAAAUUAAGUCAGUGGUGAAAGCUGGUAGCUUAACUAUCAAAUUGCCAUUGAAACUGAUUUUCUCGAGUACGGUUGAGGUAGCUGGAAUGUAACAUGUAGCGGUGAAAUGCUUAGAUAUGUUACAGAACACCGAUUGCGAAGGCAGGCUACUAAACCGUAACUGACACUGAGGCACGAAAGCGUGGGGAUCAAACAGGAUUAGAUACCCUGGUAGUCCACGCUGUAAACGUUGCAUACUCGGACUUAGCGAUAUACAGUUAGGUCCUAAGCGAAAGCAUUAAGUAUGCCACCUGGGGAGUACGGUCGCAAGAUUG